rnacentral:rRNA from 1 species
GGAUGAACGCUGGCGGCGUGCCUAAUCCAUGCAAGUCGAGCGAACGGACGAGAAGCUUGCCUCUCUGAUGUUAGCGGCGGACGGGCGAGUAACACGUGGAUAACCUACCUAUAAGACUGGGAUAACUUCGGGAAACCGUAGCUAAUACCGGAUAAUAUUUUGAACCGCAUGGUUCAAAAGUGAAAGACGGUCUUGCUGUCACUUAUAGAUGGAUCCGCGCUGCAUUAGCUAGUUGGUAAGGUAACGGCUUACCAAGGCAACGAUGCAUAGCCGACCUGAGAGCGUGAUCGGCCACACUGGAACUGAGACACGGUCCAGACUCCUACGGGAGGCAGCAGUAGGGAAUCUUCCGCAAUGGGCGAAUGCCUGACGGAGCAACGCCGCGUGAGUGAUGAAGGUCUUCGGAUCGUAAAACUCUGUUAUUAGGGAAGAACAUAUGUGUAAGUAACUGUGCACAUCUUGACGGUACCUAAUCAGAAAGCCACGGCUAACUACGUG